CCCUUAGAUGUUCUGGGCCGCACGCGCGCUACACUGAUGCAUUCAACGAGUCUAAAACCCGGUCUGAUAGGGCUGGGUAAUCUUUUGAAUGUGCAUCGUGAUUGGGAUAGAUGAUUGCAAUUCUUCAUCUUCAACGAGGAAUGCCUAGUAAACGCAAGUCAUCAGCUUGCAUUGAUUACGUCCCUGCCCUUUGUACACACCGCCCGUCGCUCCUACCGAUUGAAUGUUCCGAUGAAUACCAUGGACUGAGAGUAUGAAUGGGUUCGCCUAUUUCUGCUUCUCGGGAAGUGGAGUAAAUCUUAACAUUUAGAGGAAGGAGAAGUCGUAACA
rnacentral:rRNA from 1 species